CCUACGGGUGGCAGCAGUGAGGAAUAUUGGUCAAUGGACGAGAGCCUGAACCAGCCAAGUCGCGUGAAGGAUGACUGCCCUACGGGUUGUAAACUUCUUUUGUCAGGGAGCAAAAUGCUCCACGCGUGGCAUUCCGAGUGUACCCGAAGAAAAAGCAUCGGCUAACUCCGUGCCAGCAGCCGCGGUAAUACGUAGGAUCCGAGCGUUAUCCGGAUUUAUUGGGUUUAAAGGGUGCGCAGGAGGAAGAUAAAGUCAGCGGUAAAAUUGGGAGGCUCAACCUCUUAGAGCCGUUGAAACUGGUAGUCUUGAGUGAGUGAGAGGUAUGCGGAAUGCGUGGUGUAGCGGUGAAAUGCAUAGAUAUCACGCAGAACUCCGAUUGCGAAGGCAGUAUACCGGCGCUCAACUGACGCUGAGGCACGAAAGUGUGGGUAUCGAACAGGAUUAGAUACCCUUGUAGUC
rnacentral:rRNA from 1 species